CUUGCAAAGAAGCUUACGGUGUUAACAAUCUUUUAGGAGAAGAUAUUUCUGAAUUGCUGCGUCGCAUGGCCACUGAACCUAGUAAAACACUAUUGAGGCAGUAUAUUAAUUUUAAAUACCGUGACGGUCCAAAAUCGCAUGAAUACUGUGAUGAGAAGUGUUUGAAAAACAAUUUGGAACAAUUAGUUAUACCUUUCCAUGGAAAUACUAAAGAAAGUGAUAAAUUGAUGGAAAUUUGGCAAUAUGAUGGACAAUCAUAAAUUUAUUUAUGUUUCAUGUAUAAAUCCAUAAUAAAUUCUGCUUCAUUAUGAGAAAA